GUCGGGAUAGCUCAGUUGGUAGAGCNNAGGACUGAAAAUC
rnacentral:tRNA from 1 species